rnacentral:rRNA from 1 species
AUUGAACGCUGGCGGCAUGCCUUACACAUGCAAGUCGAACGGUAACAGGUCUUCGGAUGCUGACGAGUGGCGAACGGGUGAGUAAUACAUCGGAACGUGCCCGAUCGUGGGGGAUAACGAAGCGAAAGCUUUGCUAAUACCGCAUACGAUCUACGGAUGAAAGCAGGGGACCGCAAGGCCUUGUGCGAACGGAGCGGCCGAUGGCAGAUUAGGUAGUUGGUGGAUAAAAGCUUACCAAGCCGACGAUCUGUAGCUGGUCUGAGAGGACGACCAGCCACACUGGGACUGAGACACGGCCCAGACUCCUACGGGAGGCAGCAGUGGGGAAUUUUGGACAAUGGGCGAAAGCCUGAUCCAGCCAUGCCGCGUGCAGGAUGAAGGCCUUCGGGUUGUAAACUGCUUUUGUACGGAACGAAAAGACUCUGGUUAAUACCUGGGGUCCAUGACGGUACCGUAAGAAUAAGCACCGGCUAACUACGUG